UGUAAGAUCUGUAAAUAUCCAUAGCCAAUUUAUUUUCAUUAAAUUCUUUAUAUUUCAGCUCCUCGGUUGCGAAAUGAAAUUUUGUUUGAGCUCCUGAAGCCAAGGUUCAUUCGUCAUGGGCAAGAGCAGAUAGAUGAGUUUAAAAAUAGAAUGAAAGCUUUGCCAUGUCUGCUUAACUCGAUGACCAAACAAAUCAACUUGUGUAGUCUUUAUAGAUGUUUUCCAGAGGAUUUGAAGGAGGUUUCCAAGCUAAGUGUAAUCAUUCUAUUAUUAAAGAGCGACUUUGAAGAAGUUUCUGAGCCCAGCAAUCGAUGAUUCUUGAGGGUCGAAUUAGGUAAAGUGGAUCUUAUUUUCCAGACUAAAAAGUCUAGCACGACGUUCCAACUAUUUUUUCCGCCAAUACAAUAUGAAGCUCUGCGCAUGCGUGAGAGCUAUUUGAGCACUUGCAAUGAAUGACUUCUUUGUCAGCUCACGCAUGCGCACUUCUCGCAUAAACGUUCAUAUUGAUUUGGCGGGAAAAAAAGUUCGCACGUCGCGCUGGACUCUUUGCUGGAAAAAAUAUCUACUUUACCUAAUUCGACCCCCAAGAAUCGAUUGGUUUGCUCAGAAACUUCGUCAAAGACGGUCUUUAAGCAGUGUGUGAUUUAAUAUUUUUCUAUAUAAUUCAAGGUCUUCGAUUGGAUCGCUGAAAAAGCUCCAAAUAUGGAAGUGCUUGCUUUCACCUUUAAAGGAGCAGUUGUGAGCAAACCUAUCGUGCAAUCAUUGAUCAGAAUGAAGCAACUGCGAAGUUUAUGGCUCGUCGGUGGCAUCCUGCGCUGGCAAGACUUUGUGGAGAUUUGUAAAAAUUUGCCCAAUCUCAUUCAAAUUAAAUUUUCUCACUUUGAUGAAUCUGCCGAUUGUAUCCGCCUUCUCGAGAUGAAAAGAAACCUCAAAGACAUUUCCCACCUCAAAAGCAUAACUUGUGGAGAAUUAUGCUGCCGAAUUAUGGAACUUUUUGAAAGGCAUCUGCCCGAUUUUCAAUGGUGUUGCGAAGGACCACUCACCACUAAUCAUGCCAAAGCGUUUGAUCUCGACGGAAACAACAAAAAAACAGCGACAGCGCGUUCAUUCAUGCACAGACCUUUGUACCAUCGCCUCGCCAAGGAGAUUCCUGCCAAGUUCCCAAAUAUAGUGUCAUAUCAGAUGGACUGUCAUGAAGAGAAAUACGAAGAUUCUCUCCUUCAACAUCUGCCGGAUUUUCGGGUACUUCAGAAUUUGCGCUUUGCGGGGCUGAAUGAUCCGCAAAUUUUGUACCACGCUUUGGUGAAGUACGGUGGAAACUUGCGAAAGGUCACCGUUAUCGGGCACAGAGAGCCAAGUUUAGAUAUUAAACGCAUUUUUGACCUCAGCCCCAAUUUGGAACACCUGGAACUGGUAGGGGUCCGCCUGAUCAACCAUUCAGGUCAGAUUAACCACUCGAGGCUCAUGAAACUCUCGCUGGUGAACACAAGAUGCAACAAAAAAUCCGAGAUUCUACUGGCUCCGCAACUUCAGGUGGUAACGCUCUGUGGACAUUACUCUGACCUGCUGCAUUUAUGUUUUAAUCCGUUAAUCCAUAAUGUAAGCGCGAUAUCCAUGGCUACUAGACAUUAUCGUUACACUAAGAUGAUCAAAAUUUGGAAUUUGACAAUGGUCGUGUCAGACUGUGAAAAUAUUUCUGUUGAACAGUUCACAGUUCUAUCUCAGUCUAUUCAAUUGUUGUCUGCCUUUUCUGUACCGUGUCUGACAGAUUUCCACUUGUUUUACGGUGAAAUCGGCGAGAUUGAUGACGUGCACUAUUUGCAAGUAGACCCAUAUCCCAGAAUUUAUUGGCCAGCCGUUGCCAACUUAAUCGAGAUUUUGAAAGUGUAUCAAUGAUAUACACUGCCCGGAAGUGUUAAAAAAUGCCUGCUUUUUUAG